GAGACCAUUUUUGGUGGUCUCAUAAACUAAAAAUUUAAGUUGAUAUUAAAAAUGGUUUAAAUGAUGAUUAUUCAUUACAAUGACCUAAAUGAUAAUUAUAAGACUUGUUUCAAAAGUUCACAUUGUUAUUUGGUUAUUAUUACACUUGGUGUGCUUUUUAUGACCUUUACAAAUAUGGUCUUGUAAACCAUGAUGUGUAUGUGUGAUCUUUGAACAGCGCCUCUGUAGGCGGAACUUGGUACUGCACUUCUAUACACACUCGCGCCAAAUCUUACACAAUUUCGCGCCAUAAAUUCAAUCGCGGGAAAACGUCCCUCAUGAAGACUGUGGACGUGACAGUCGCGCUUCAAGCAGCGAAACUCACAUCAAACAAUGAAUGAAUGGUGGUAAGAGUCAAAGCAGAGGAUUAAAUCAUUUGAAAGAUGCUUCUCAUCAUGUGAGGUUGGGGAAGGAUAAAGACAUGCUUACGUGGAGGUACAUCAGUGACAUCAAAGAGUGUGUCAUGUGGAGGAGUUGACCUUCUCUCCUGUAACAAACAUGAAAAAGCAAAGUCUCUUCAUGAGCCAUUAUCUUUGAAUUCUGAACAGAGUGAGCUUCAAAGAGGUUUGUCUAUAUAAUUGUCUUCUAAAUGUUGAUCUGAAGAGAUAUUUUCUUAUUGUUCCUGUAUCUGUGCAGUUAUUUUUAUAUAAUAAUACAUUUAAUAUGGGUGUAGCGAUACAUUAUUAUAUUGAGAAUCGCAAUAUAACAAUUCAAAGUUUUUUCUUUAGAUUAGCCUCUAUUCACACGGUGAGUAUUAUGCGUAAGAUUAAACGCUUACACAGUGGCAGUAUAAACUACUGUUGUUAAAUGAUGAAAAUAAUGCAAGUUGAAAUCUGAUGAUGACAAAUGCCUGAUUAUACCAGUGAAAAUGAUCUAUUUGCAUGUGGACCAUAAGAGAGUGCAAGCAUACAUCUAACACUCAUCUUCAGAAUUUUGAAUUUGUAUUCUGAUG